AGUCGAACGGCAGCACGGGGCGCAGCCCUGGUGGCGAGUGGCGAACGGGUGAGUAAUACAUCGGAACGUGUCCGGUAGUGGGGGAUAGCCCGGCGAAAGCCGGAUUAAUACCGCAUACGCUCUACGGAGGAAAGGGGGGGAUCUUAGGACCUCCCGCUACAGGGGCGGCCGAUGGCAGAUUAGCUAGUUGGUGGGGUAAAGGCCUACCAAGGCGACGAUCUGUAACUGGUCUGAGAGGACGACCAGCCACACUGGGACUGAGACACGGCCCAGACUCCUACGGGAGGCAGCAGUGGGGAAUUUUGGACAAUGGGGGCAACCCUGAUCCAGCAAUGCCGCGUGUGUGAAGAAGGCCUUCGGGUUGUAAAGCACUUUUGUCCGGAAAGAAAACGCCGUGGUUAAUACCCGUGGCGGAUGACGGUACCGGAAGAAUAAGCACCGGCUAACUACGUGCCAGCAGCCGCGGUAAUACGUAGGGUGCAAGCGUUAAUCGGAAUUACUGGGCGUAAAGCGUGCGCAGGCGGUCCGCUAAGACAGAUGUGAAAUCCCCGGGCUUAACCUGGGAACUGCAUUUGUGACUGGCGGGCUAAAGUAUGGCAGAGGGGGGGUA
rnacentral:rRNA from 1 species